rnacentral:rRNA from 1 species
GACGAACGCUGGCGGCGUGCUUAACACAUGCAAGUCGAACGGAAAGGCCCUGCUUUUGUGGGGUGCUCGAGUGGCGAACGGGUGAGUAACACGUGAGUAACCUGCUCUUGACUUUGGGAUAACUUCAGGAAACUGGGGUUAAUACCGGACAGGAGCUCCUGCUGCAUGGUGGGCGUUGGAACGUCUCGGCGGUUGGGGAUGGACUGGCGGCUUAUCAGCUUGUUGGUUGGGUAGUGGCUUACCAAGGCUUUGACGGGUAGCCGGCCUGAGAGGGUGACCGGGCACAUUGGGACUGAGAUACGGCCCAGACGCCUACGGGAGGCAGCAGGGGGGAAUCUUGCACAAUGGGCGGAAGCCUGAUGCAGCAGCGCCGCGUGCGGGAUGACGGCCUGCGGGUUGUGAACCGCUUUCGCCUGUGACGAAGCGGGAGUGACGGUAAUGAGUAAAGAAGCACCGGCUAACUACGUG